AUCCUUAUAUAAUACGAGCGCCGGUUUUGCCGGCUAUGAUGCUAAACACCCUGCGGAAUAGGCGUUGCGGACCCGGGGGCGGUACCCGGCGCCUCCACCAUUUACGGGGGCGAAACAGGAUCGACGCGCGUAGUAAAGACAGGAUCUGCAUCCGGCAUGGUACCGCCGUUAUCGGGCUAAAUCUUUGAAUGCGAACGAUAAUCGCACUCAGGUUGCUCUCGCUGCCUAAUCGGCGGUCGGAACGACCAAACUUAAUUCCCGUGCCUUGAGCGGUACGGGUGGGGCGGGGACUUGCCUAGCAACAGAAGUGUC
rnacentral:tmRNA from 1 species